AGGACGAACGCUGGCGGCGUGCUUAACACAUGCAAGUGGAGCGACGAACCAGGGCUUGCCCUGGGGCAGAGCCGCGAACGGGUGAGUAACACAUGGGUUACCUGCCUCGAUGACCGGGACAACCCGAGGAAACUCGGGCUAAUACCGGAUGUGCCCGCAAGGGGAAAGGAAGCUUCGGCCUCCGCAUCGAGAUGGGCCCGCGGCCCAUUAGCUUGUUGGUGAGGUAACGGCUCACCAAGGCUUCGAUGGGUAGCUGGUCUGAGAGGACGAUCAGCCACACUGGGACUGAGACACGGCCCAGACUCCUACGGGAGGCAGCAGUGGGGGAAUCUUGCGCAAUGCGCGAAAGCGUGACGCAGCAACGCCGCGUGGAGGAUGAAGCCCCGUUGGGCGUAAACUCCUUUCGAUCGGGAAGAUAAUGACGGUACCGGAAGAAGAAGCCCGGCUAACUUCGUGCCAGCAGCCGC
rnacentral:rRNA from 1 species